GACUCUUUCUCUUCUUUCUCGGCUCUUUGCCUCCUCCCCUUCUUAUUUGCACGACUCUUCCUUUCUCCAAUUCUUCAUGUCCCGGUUCAGUUGCCUCUAUCUCUAAAAAAUCAAAGAGCCACAACUAUUAAAUGAAAGAAAGAGGUCUUUGUCCUUGGAACAAGACCCAAACUCCCAUUGGAGUCGUUCUCUUUCUCGGCAACAGUAUUAACCCAGACCCAGAGCGACGAGUCCAUACAAAAAGGUGAUACAAUGAAGAUUGAGGAAGCAAAGAGCACAUACUCCUAAGGAAAUAUAAUGAUCUCCUCCGCUAUUAUUGACCCGUUGCAAGUUGAGAGCACAUUUCAACUCUCCAUCAACAAUGAAGCAAAAGUAGUGUAUUCCUAAUGGAAGCAUCAUAGUAACAGAAGCACUUUUUCCUAUAUUCUGCAAGUCCUCCCUGUUGAAGAAAGAAAGAAAGAAAGGGGGGAGCUCAUCAAUAUCAAAUUAUGAAGUUAAAGGAGAAAAAUAAAUUAAGUUGAAACUUGGAAAAUGAAAAGUUAUGUUACUUAGUCUGCCAGUUGUUCCACGAUCCCACCACAGAUACUACAUUGCCACCACCAUACCAUGUGAUUUCAACAGAAAUCAAUCUUCCACUGAAGUAAUUCUCAUUAUGCACCAUGCUUCCUGGCAAUGGAUGCCGCUUUUUAGACUAUAUAAAUUCACAAGGUGUAAAUUCAAGAGGUGUUGGCAUGGGAGUCACAAAAACCUGCAGGAUACAGCUUUCUUGAUCAAAUAUCUGAUGCUAAGGAGACAUGGAGAAUUAGAGUGAGAAUAUGCAGAAUGUGGAAAGCAGUGAAUAAGAGAAGUGGAAAUAACUUCAUCAGUCUUGACAUGAUCUUUAUCGAUGAAAAGAAAAGCUUAAUGCAUGCAAUUGUAAGAAAGAAUGUGUUUCAGAAAUUUAGUACCAUCCUACGUGAAUGAGGAACCUUUAUCACUUCAAACUUUAAAGUAAUCGUGACAAAUAAAGGUUAUAGACUGGUUUCAAAUGACCUGAACAUCAUUUUCCUCUUAACAACUUCGGUUAAGGAGUGCAAUGAAGAAAGUGAACUCAUACCUAUGCAUGCCUUUGAAUUUGCAACAUAUGAUUGUAUCAACAAUCGUUUGAAUGACAAUUCUUACCUAACAGAUAUGAUUGGCAAACUUACUGCUGUUGGACCCAUUGAACAAGUUCACUUUCACAACGGCUCUACAAAUAUAAGAAAUCUCCAAAUUCUACUACCUGAGGACAAAGAGCUAAAAAUAUCAUUGUGGGAUGAAAGUGCUGAAACAAUUACUGAAAAUGACUUCAAAGAAGAUGAAGGUCCUUCUAUAAUUAUUGUUACUUCAACAACUGUAAAAGCAUUCCAAGGCAAACUGAAUCUUAACACCACAAGUGCAACUAAAGUUUACGUCAAUUUGGACAUUACAGAGGUUUCUGAGCUCAUUGACAGAUAUAAAGUUGUUGAGGAUGAAUACGAUAAUGUUGUUCGAUCUAUUCCAACACAUGACAAAAAACCCAAAUUUGAAUCAGAAUUGAUAUUGCAAACUACGAUGUCAUUGGCAGAAAUUAAAGCACUAGAAUGGGUGGAAGGAGUCAAGGAAAGAUUUUUUACCUGUUAUGCGGAUAUUGUAAACAUAGAAACAAAAUUAGGGUGGAAUUAUAUCUCAUGUCAACUUUGCAAGCGAAAAGUAAAAUAACAAAAUAAUAUGUUUUGGUGCAACAGUUGCAAUUCUGAAUCUCAGUUCCCUAUGCCUAGUUACAAACUACAAAUCCAAGUGAAGGAUCAUACUGGGACAGCUUCUUUUGUUCUUUUUGAUAAAGAUGCAGAAAAAAUAAUUCAAAAAACUGCUAUGGAACUUUCUUCAAAAAAUCAAGAGCCAAAUAAAGUACCUCAAGAAAUUCAAAGCUUGCUUGGAAAAUCUUAUACAUUCCAAAUAAAAGUUGAUGAUUACAAUGUCAAAGAGGGAUGGGAAGUUUACACUGUCACAAGUGUCUUUAAAUCUGAGUCUAACAAACACUCAGGAAAUGUUGUUGCUGACAACAUUCAGAUUAAACCAUCAGAAACACUGUUCAGCCAUGACCAAACUAUUGCAAACAAUUCUAUUGCUACUUCAGAUAUUAAAUUACUUACAAGCCAGGUGAAGGUGGCCACUGAGCAUUGCUUGAAGGGACAAAAAAGAUCAAAAGUAGGAAAAAAAAGAAAGCCAUGAAGAGGGGAAGAAAGAAGAAUGAAAGGAAGCUAUAAUGUGGAGAGAGUAGGAUGAUUGUGAGUGUGCAUGAAAGGUGAGAAAAUGAGAGACAGAACUUCCAGAAUUGAGACAAGGUGUACAUGAAAGAAGAGUAUGGCAUUACUGUUCGAUAUAAAUAACAGGAUUAGUGGGUCCCUCUAAGAGGGGUACAAGCAAAUGACUCAUGAGGAAAUUGAUUAUUAUUAGGACUCAAAACUAAUCAAAUUGCUCACAAUUAAAAGAAACCCUGAAAAGCUCUAGAGCUCUGCACAAUAAUAGACUUGGUAACAAUAAGUACAGUAAUACUAAUAAGUAGUAAAUGUAUGAACCAUUUCUCAAAACGAAUUUUUUUGUUCUUUUCUUUCUAAAACUACUUUCUUUCAUGCUCUUAAUGAAAAGAACAACCUGUUAUCUUUGUUUGCAUGGUUGGAAACCUACGAAAAGAAGUUGCAAUGAAAUGCAUAAGUACUGGUAGUAGAUUUUGAGAGUACGUGUAGUUCUCAAUGAAACGCAGAAGUACUGGUAGUACAUUUUCAGAGUACUGGUAGUAGAGAGACUUGAGAUUGGGAGUAGAGAGAACGAAGACUUCUAAGAUUGAGAGUGAGAUUUUGAUUUAGUAUUGAGAAGUGAAAACAGAUCUAAGAUGGGAUUGAACUCCUUGAAGACUUAGGUUUGCGUGUGGAUUCGGUGGAACAGUGUUUGAGAUGGGAUUUCCCUUUCGAUCUUAGCAUUUUGAGCUUC